rnacentral:tRNA from 2 species
GGGGGUAUAGCUCAGCUGGGAGAGCGCUUGCAUGGCAUGCAAGAGGUCAGCAGUUCGAUCCUGCUUACCUCCA